rnacentral:rRNA from 1 species
AGAGUUUGAUCCUGGCUCAGGAUGAACGCUAGCUACAGGCUUAACACAUGCAAGUCGAGGGGCAGCAUCAUCAAAGCUUGCUUUGAUGGAUGGCGACCGGCGCACGGGUGAGUAACACGUAUCCAACCUGCCGACAACACUGGGAUAGCCUUUCGAAAGAAAGAUUAAUACCGGAUGGCAUAGUUUUCCCGCAUGGGAUAAUUAUUAAAGAAUUUCGGUUGUCGAUGGGGAUGCGUUCCAUUAGGCAGUUGGCGGGGUAACGGCCCACCAAACCUACGAUGGAUAGGGGUUCUGAGAGGAAGGUCCCCCACAUUGGAACUGAGACACGGUCCAAACUCCUACGGGAGGCAGCAGUGAGGAAUAUUGGUCAAUGGACGAGAGUCUGAACCAGCCAAGUAGCGUGAAGGAUGACUGCCCUAUGGGUUGUAAACUUCUUUUAUACGGGAAUAAAGUUAGCCACGUGUGGUUUUUUGUAUGUACCGUAUGAAUAAGGAUCGGCUAACUCCGUGCCAGCAGCCGCGGUAAUACGGAGGAUCCGAGCGUUAUCCGGAUUUAUUGGGUUUAAAGGGAGCGUAGGCGGGUUGUUAAGUCAGUUGUGAAAGUUUGCGGCUCAACCGUAAAAUUGCAGUUGAUACUGGCGACCUUGAGUGCAACAGAGGUAGGCGGAAUUCGUGGUGUAGCGGUGAAAUGCUUAGAUAUCACGAAGAACUCCGAUUGCGAAGGCAGCUUACUGGAUUGUAACUGACGCUGAUGCUCGAAAGUGUGGGUAUCAAACAGGAUUAGAUACCCUGGUAGUCCACACAGUAAACGAUGAAUACUCGCUGUUGGCGAUAUACGGUCAGCGGCCAAGCGAAAGCAUUAAGUAUUCCACCUGGGGAGUACGCCGGCAACGGUGAAACUCAAAGGAAUUGACGGGGGCCCGCACAAGCGGAGGAACAUGUGGUUUAA